CAAGUACUCCCUCCAUUCGGAAAUAUUUGUCCUAGAAAUGGUUGUAUAUAGACUUGUUUUUGUUCUAGAUACAACCAUUUUUAAGACAAGUAUUUCCGAACGGAGGGACUACAAG
rfam:Triticum urartu cultivar G1812 contig167931, whole genome shotgun sequence.